UAGAUAUCGACAGGUACAUCUCACUGCACGUUGACUGCUCUGCGUCAUCUCCGCCCGCUCUCGCUUUCGCUCUCGCUGUCGCUCUCGGUGUUGGUGAUCUCUGCGGAGGCACUGCCCAGCUUCCCCCGACUCCACAACCGCUGCGUGCCGGCUGAACGGCAUGCGGGAACCUGCAUAGGGCAACAAAAUGAUCGGAAAACAAUAUUUUCUCGACCCACAUGGUCGGCCUUGGUCGGUGCGGUCUGAGGUGGGUAGAGGUCAUCGAAUCCCCGCUGUGGGUCCACCGAUCGAUUGGCGCUUGCAUCCUCGGAUGGGUGAUGCCCGUUCUAUGAUGAAAUCACGGAUAAUUAGAACAAUGCCAUGGGCAGGUCAUAAUUAUGAGCCAAGUCCAGAUGAGCUGCAGCUUGCAGCUGCUUUGGAGGAAAAGUUAUUCAUGGGCGCUGCUUCAGUGAGAGAGUAUCUGGACCUCAAGACGCUGCAUCAUCGGGUGCAGAUUUUACUCCAGCAAACAAGUGCUGAGAAAGCAACUAUUGCUAAUCAGUUUUAUAAUUCUGUGCCCGCUCAUCAAGUGGGGCUGGAUGCUUCUUGCCAUCCUUGCUACUCCUCAACAGAUCAUACUUUGGGAUACACUGCAGUAUCCUCUUGCAAUAGUGGUCGAUGCUCCUUACCAGGCUGUGCAAUUGGCCUUCGCACAGAGUUCUCAGGUGGACAAGGACCUUUUAUUGAUGGUUACUCAAAAGGACAUGGUAUGUUGUCAGCUUCUUAUUUGAAGGAGCAACAACCUUCACAGGCUUUCACUUCUGAUGCUUUUGUUUCGCUAGAGGGAAGUCCAUACUGUUCCAGGUAUUGGGAUAAGUGCCUUUAUGCUGGAGCUUGUGAUGGUGGAGUAGUAUUUCCUCAGGUAAAUCCACACAAUAGCUAUGGAGCAUCACUUCAAGGUCAUGGCAUUGCUCAAAAGAAUCUGCAGUGCCGUAAUCUGCGAAAUGUGAGCCCUGUUCAGCAGAGGGAUUUGUUAUGCCUCAACUCCGAACAAAAGAUACACUUUGAGCUCCCUUCAAACCAAUUCUACCCUCUGGACUCUGUUGAAUUUAAAGGUACUUCAACUUGCUCUGGUUCAAGGGUUUCUGCAGCAUCUAAUCCAUCAUAUCCCAGUGGGGCCCAGUGGAUUAGUUGCCAAGACCAAAGGAAACGUCCACAGUCACUAGUCAGUAGCUGGUCAGUAGCUGGUAAAUCUCAAGUGUUGCCUCCUGCUCAUAAACGAUUGAAGACGGUUGAUCAGUUUGGCUACAUCUCAUCCAAAUAUGAGAUUCCUCGGGAUAUUAUGAUGAUUGAACAGUGCAUGGGUAAAAGACUUCCAAAGUUGCAGCAGUAUCCUGAAUCUCCGGUUUCCAUCGAUUCACAGUAUGAUGUUGUGCAGCCUAUUGCAGAGGACAUUCCUGACAUAAGUUGGGUGCUAAAAAAUCUUGUUCAAGGUAGUUCUGAAUGGAAUCAUGGGAAUGCUGUGUCUCCCUUGGAAGAGAUUUUUGGCAAGCCCAAUAUGGGUAUUGUGGACAAAUUCAUGGUUGAACCUGUGGCUGAUUUCCGUAGUGGGCAGUCUGGUAGUACGGUUACUUUUUCGGAAGAGAGGACUCUUGGUUGUGAGGAUGGUGGGCGAGUCAUGGAAGAUACUUCUAAACUGAAUGUGGAGAGGCAAGAUUUAGCAACAGGUGAGGCCCUAGCUGAUUCUAGUGGAUUAAAGUCUGAUAGAGUUCCUAUUCUCUCUGGAGAGCUCAAUUCUUGUUUUCUGGAAGAGAGGACUCUUACUUGUAAGGAUGGUGGGCGAGUCAUGGAAGAUACUUCUGAACUGAAUGUGGAGAAGCAAGAUUUAGCAACAAGUGAGGCCCUAAUUGAUUCCAGAGGAUUAAGGUCUGAUAGCAUUUGUCAUGUCUCUGAAGAGCGCAAUCCUUGUGUUGAGGAGAAGACGCAAAUUAUUGAACCCGAUAAAGGAUUUGAAUGCAAUCCUUGUCUUGAAGAGCACAAUCCUUGUCACGAUAAAGGAUUUGAAUGCGAGCGUGAGUUGUCUGAAGCGGUUAGCAAGGAAGUACAUGAAGUGCCUAUGUCAGGAGGCAGAAAGAUUACCGGUGCUUCAUUAUUGGAAUUUUUCACGAGAGAGCAAAUAGAAAAGCAUCUUACAGGCCUAAAGGAGUCAAGCUGUCAGAUUAUACUGCAAGAGAAGGAUGCAGCACAUACAGCAACUCAGACCCCAUGCCAGUUGUGUGGAGAAGGCACACUUUUCUUUGCUCCUGUGACCAUAUAUUGUUCAUCCUGUGGCAAGAUUAUCAAUUGCGGAGGCAAAUAUUACACCCCUCAAGAAGUAGGCGAAAAAUUUUACCUUUGUUCAACAUGCUAUGGAUGUAAGGGUAAAGUGGUUCAAUUUCGUGGAGGUUCUAUUUCUAAGGAGAAACUUGAGAAGAGAACGCACGAUGAGAAAAUGGAAGAACCCUGGGUUCAGUGUGAGUGGUGUCAAGCCUGGCAACACCAGAUAUGUGGCCUUUUCAAUGAAAGGAAAAAUGUAGGAGGAAAUGCAGAAUAUGUAUGUCCUCUUUGUUGCUUAAAAGUCAUAAAUGACAAUGACCAGAUGACCUUCAGAAACGGUUGUGCAUUUAGUGCUAAAGACCUGCCAUGCACCAAGCUCAGUGAUCACCUAGAGAGAAGAUUAAAUGACCGUCUCAAGCAAGAGAGGGAGUGCAGAGCAAAGGAUUCAGGGAAGAAUUUUCAUGAGGUUCCCGGGGCAGAAGAUCUUGUUGUCAGAGUGGUUUUAUCUUUGCCCAGAAAAGUAGAAGUAGAUAAGCAGUUUUUGGGCAUCUUUCACGGCAUAAAUUACCGUUCUGAGCUCCCAUACAAGUCUAAGGCGAUUGCUUUAUUUCAGAAGAUUGAAGGUGUGGAUGUGUUUCUCUUUGGUAUGUACGUGCAAGAGUAUGGCUCAGACUGCAGUCAACCAAACAACCGCUGCGUCUAUAUCUCUUACCUUGAUUCAGUCAAAUACUUAUGUCCUGAUAUAAAAUCUGCCUAUGGAGAAAGUCUCCGAACCUUUGUUUACCAUGAAAUAUUGGUUGGAUACCUUGAGUACUGCAAAAAGCGUGGUUUUGCGAGCUGUUAUCUAUGGGUCUGCCCACCUACAAAAGGAGAUGACUUUCUUCUCUACUGCCAUCCUAAAUUUCAGAAAAACCUGCCAAUUAAGACACUGCGCAAAUGGUACCGGACAAUGUUUAGCAAAGCAAUUGCUGAAAAAAUUGUUCUCAGUUCUACCAAUUUGUGUGAGUUUUAUUUUGCUCCAUCUGGAUGUGAUAAACUCAAGAUCACGGCUGCUCGUCUGCCGUAUUUCGAAGGCGACUAUUGGCCCAGCAAGCUGGAGAAUAUCUUGAAGGUCAUUGAUCAAAAGGCUGUAGAAGAAUCGGAUAAAAAGGUUAAGAAUAUGUCAAAGAGGGCAAUGAAAGCAUGUAAAAGCCUCUCCAAUGAUUCCCCCAAGGACAUCCUCUUGAUGGAAAAGAUUGAGCACAGUAUGAAAGAUAACAAGGACGACUUCAUGGUGGCCCAUUUGCAGUAUAUAUGCACUUGCUGUCAUGAAGUCAUAUUAUCUGGUAAGAGAUGGUUCUGUAAUCACUGCAAGAAGCUACAGCUCUGCGAAAGAUGCGUUGACGCAGAAGUUGGCCGGACUGCCGAGGAUGUUCCAGUUUGCAGAGCGAAGCAUUUGCUCUCUCAGGCGAUUGUUGAUCCCGCACCUUCUGAUACUGAGGACGGUGAUAUUACUAUAGAAAACAAGUUGUUUGAGAACAGGCACUCUUUCCUUGCCUUCUGUCAGGAGAACCAUUAUCAGUUUGAUACGCUCCGGCAGGCCAAACAUUCUUCAAUGAUGAUUCUUUAUCAUCUCAAUGAGCGUAAGGAACAGGUCACUGGGAAUGCCUGUAGCCUUUGCCAAGAGGAGAUAUUUGGUUCAAGUUGGAUGUGCAAGAUUUGCCUCAGUUUUCAUGCAUGUAAAGCAUGCUAUAUGCGACAAGAUUUCUCGCAUAGCCAUGAGUUGACUCCCUCAUCUUCUGAUGAUCCUGCGGCAGAGAUUCAAUUCAAGUGGCUGCAGGUAUCUUAUUAUAUCAAAAAACAAUAAGCUUCUUGUUGAAUAACAAGUUUCUUAUUAUUUCAUUACCGACAAUCAUCCGACAAACUACGUCGUGGCACGCUGUGAUUGGCCUCUGUAAACACCCCUUUUAAGGAGGCUCCAUAGGGAAGUUUAUCUCAACAAUAUAUAUCAAUGCUUAGUGCAGUGUAUGGUCUUCUCUAUGAACUGUGAUCUUUGCAAUGUCAGGUCUCGGUUGACCCAAAGGACAUUCUGAGUCUCGUGAUGCACUGUUCUCGGUGCAAUCCAUCUGAAAGCCAACCUUGCUCUUACCCGUACUGCUCCAAGAUCAAGGGGCUGUUCCACCAUUCGACUCUAUGUUCUCGCGGAGUUUCUAAGGGAUGCAAAUACUGUCAGAAUGUGUGGCUUAUGCUCCAACUGCACGCUAAGGAUUGUAAAGAUUCGGAUUGUAGGGUCCCAUGGUGCAGGAGAUUUAAAGGCCGACUCAGUAUGCAACCAGUGCCUCACACCGCCAGAGGGAUUCAUCAGGGUCUGAUUUCCGCAUAGAGUAGGUUGUUGCUUCAGGUACAUAGAAAAUGGAAUCAAUCAUUCUAUUGUACAGGGGCCAGGAACCAAAUUGUACAGCAGAGCGUUUCCCUUGUAAGGGGAAUUCAUUUUCCGGAGAGGCCAUAAAAAGAUGUACAGCUCCGUUUAGGUUCGACUUGAAUAAGAGCUGCUUUGGUUGGGAAAAGGGUUGAUCUCUUGUAUGGCUUUUUCUUGCUUUUGCACUUGGCAUGCUCUCUAUAUAUUUGUACCGGGGGGACUCAGCUGAGGUCUUACCAGUUUUAUAUCCUUUCGGGCCAAGCUCGAACCUCCGGAAUAAGCUUUGAUCCA